GCGAGGAGUGUGCCAAGGAUGGAUGUUUCUUGUGGGGGUGGGGGGAGCAGGGGUAGAACUGUUGAGGGGUUUGGCCAGGAGCACAGGGACCUGGAGAGUGAGGGUCUGCACCCCCUCUGGCCCCAGGCUGGCCCCAGCAGGAGCAGCUGGGCCCCGGCUUCCCAGGACCAGGCCACCUCCAAGGACGCUGCCCAGCGAGGGGGCUGAGAUGCCGAGGUUCCUGGAGGACCUGACCACAGGGCCCUGGUGCCAUCCGGGAUGCCGCUGGGCAGCCGCGUGAGGUUCCGAGAGCUACAGAAGACGCUGAGCUCAUCUGUGUAGUCGUCGUGGCCGCAGGAGCAGACGGCUGGGCACUGGGGGCCCUCAGGGUCUGCUGGUGCCGCGGACUCCACUUCCUCCAGGCUGUGGGAGCCCAGCACUGCCCAGGAGACUAGCAGCACCACCAGGGCCGGGCCUCCUGUGGGGAGAGGGGCUUGGGGAGGCAGCACUGAGGCAGCCCAGGAUGUAAGCCCAGGGCAAGCAAGACAUGGAACCUUCCAGGCCUCAGCCACACACCUGGACCACAGCACACAACUAUUUAGAGAAGGCACUGCUGACCGGACCAGAGAAGGACCAACGGGGUGGCAGUGCCUGUUCCAGAGAAAACUGAAGGCUGGGGACCUGACCACUAGGCCGUGUGUUUAUCUGCGUCCCCAAGGUGGACACACAAGCCAGGCUAGGCUGCCAGGCAGGCCUGGAGGAAAGUGUGAGAGAACGUUCUGGAGCAGGCUCGGGUCGUUUCUCAGCUUCUCUUCUGAGAAAUUAUAGAUCUGCAGGGAGAAAGUCCACACCCAGAAAUUUACACGGUAAACAUACAUUUACACAGUAGAAAGUGCGGACUCAGCAGGAGUCCGGGGCCAUGGGGCCUCUUCACUGGGAAGCUCUCGCAUGCGGGCCAGACGCACGUGGACUGGAAGGAGGGUUAGCAUUCCUGGUCCCCCCGAGGAGUCUGGUUUCUGGUCUUUGUGGAAAUGGUGUUGUACAGAAGCCCCAGGCCCAGCCACUCGUGUGCCAAGUCAUAGCAUCCCUUCCCUCCUUCCUGUCGUGGUGCUACGACCCUGUGGGGCCCUUGUGCGUUCCUGUGGUCCUGAGUGGACCCACUGGGACCAGCCUGUGUCAUCCUUGCAGACAGGGACUGUACAAGGAGAGCAAGCCAGCUGCAGAAGUUCCGAUGAAAUGGGAUCUCGCCCAAGAAUAAAAUGACUAGGCACUGAAAACUGUUGGGAUAAUUCAGCCGACCAAAGGAGAGUAUGUGUACUUCUGUGUGACCUGCUUGGUAUUCCACUCAUCUUGUCUCCUCUACCAGGACAGAAGCUCCACAAGGGCAGGAAUUUCUGUCUGUUCACUCUGAAUCCCCAGAGCAUCUCAGUACCUGCCACAUCGUCAGCAUUCAGAACAUCAUCGUCUUUGGAGAAGCCCACACAGGCAGCUGCGGAGUGACACGGGCCCAUGCUUGGCCAGGACAGGGACCUGAGGAAUCCAGGGGGGCGGCGACAACCACGCUGCAUCAUGACCCAUCUGUAUGAGGCGUACAGGGGGGUGACAUCAACAGCAGCAGCAGCGGGCCUCAGCUGGACAGGAAGUGUUCAGUGAGCAUCACCACAUCAGCUCGGACCUCCCGCCGGCUCUGCCUGAGAUGUGAGGCGGGGUAACCAGGACCAGCCUGAGACUGCAGGAGAGGAGCCAGUUCCCAGGAUGGCCAACCAAGAGCAGAAGGAACAGCUACAGAGCAGGGACACCACAUCACAAUCUCAACAGCAGGCUCCCUGCACACUGCCACCAGGAGGAAGGACUCGGGGCCUCUCCCUGCCAGGGGCCCAAGAGGCCCGCCCCCAAGCAGGGGCGGCGCAGUGCCAGCAGUGGUGCUGACGCCACAUAGGCGCCCAGGGCAUCCUCACCGCACACAGAUCCCUCCCGUCAGCUCCUCUGCCCACACGAGGCACAGUGCCCCACACUGGUUCCUAGGAACAUCCCCGGAACUGGCCAGCCUUUACAGGGACGAGUAUGCAGAGCUUGGAGCUCCUCGGGUACCACAUGCCACAGCCUCCCAGCCUGUACUCUCCCUGCCCAAGCCCCCAGACCCAGCCCCACACUGGAGGCAGCUCUUCAGCAUCACCCCAGCCCAGGUAGGUGCUCUGGGCCUGCCCGGCCCUGGAAUUCCACUGCACAUCAACACAGACACGAGAACAUGAUGAUGUCAUCAAACAUUAGAGAAUGACUUCCUCUAGAGGUAGCUGGGGGAGGGGGUAGGAGAGGGAGGGGACGAUGCCAGGUAAGGGGAGUGUGCCCCUCCCAGGGGCCUUCUUCUGGUAAGCACGGACUUUGAACCAGGGCGUGCCGGCCUCACCGGGGGCAGGGCGGGUACGACUCUUACUGGGGCAUCAUAUGGGGGCUCACACGGCAACCAUGGGGGCCCCAUGGAAAGGCUGGAGACAACACAGUCUGCAAGCAGAGCUUCCGGGAAUAAACACUUUCUAAACUUCUUCUCUUAUAAAUAUGUAUUAGAACAUUUGAUAACACAAGCAAAAUGUUCUGAAAUUAAUUUAAAAUUAAACUGUGACUGAAUUUCCUGCACUCCUAGCCAGAAAUUCACCUAACACAUCUGAAUACCCAAAUGUGGUUGAAGGUGGCCGCAGCUGCAGCAGCAGCCUUGGACACCCAGGCCCCGCAGCCACCUCAGUCCCGCGGCACCUUGAACUGGUCCUUCUCUUUGCGGAUGGCCCUCAUGGUGGUCACAGGGUCCAUCUCACCUGCAUGCUGCUGCACAGUCUUCUCCCUGCGGAAGCCAAGCACCAGGCUGCAGGCCGCACCCUGCACCCGCGGACCCACCACCCCUCCCAUGGCACCAGGGAAGAAAAGAGCCUGUAGGAGGCGGGACGUUCUUAAAAAUGAAGUGUGACAGCCAACGGCCAACUCAGGUGUUUCUAACUGUUGGAAACAUGCUGGCCGAGCCAGUCCUGCUGGUGACCUGGAAAGCGGGGACACCAACUCCACGCUGGCAUCCGGCACUGCCCAGCGCCUAGAGGCUCCCCAAGCACAAGUCUCGUCCACCUAUGGAUCCAGACUCCAGGGUCAGAAAGGACCCUACACCCUAGCCAGGGCGUCAAGAAAAGCGUCCCCCUUUAAGAAGAGAUGUCUCAUUCUUUGGCAACACUUUAAACAGAGAUUUCAGGGCAGCCUCCUCUCCCACCCGGGCUCUUCAGGAGUCGGGGUGGUGGAGGCGGAGAUGCCCGAGGACAGCGUGGGACCCGCUCCCUCACCUCACUCUCAUGAAUGGGUUGUAGGUGAACUCCUCUGCAAUGGUGGAUGGCACUGUGGGCUCCCCGAUGCUGUACUUCUCCUGCAAGAAAAGUGGGUCCCUUUAAUGCGGAAAUUUCUAAAGCUGACACUUCAAAAAGCCUCCUAAUGGUCUUCCAAUGUCGUCCGACUGAGAAGAUAAAGUGAGCAGUGGGUCAGUACCAGGACAGGCCCUUCCCCGCCCGCGGAGAAGAGAUGCGAGUGCUCUAGCUGCCACCAACAACCUCUCUCCUUCCCUUGCUGUCUUGGAGGUGCAGGGGCACAAGGAGCUUUCUUUUCAUUAAUACAGAAGUCAUAACUAGCAAAAAUGCAGAAGACAGAAAAGAAGAAAACAUAGCCCUACCCCCAAGACAGCAUGUGGGUCGUGAGCACCUCACUGCCAGGAAGAACAGCAAGGCAACAGGUUCCCGGGGUCCCUCCCCUGCGGUGACAGCCCCCCAGAGGGUAGCUCUCAUCACAGGGUGUUCAGGCAGCUUGUCACCUCCACUCAGGACCAGGAUGGCCUUGCUUCUAAUCAACACUGACCAGGGCAGGCGGAGAGAAGACGCAUACUGGGACAUCUGGCCAACUGUUCACUCCUAUAGAAAUGCCUACAGGAAGGAGGUCAGAGUUAACAGCUGGGGGUUUCCACCCUGCCCACAGCCCCUGCCCUGCUACUGCUGGGCUCACCCUGAGGGCCACAGGGCCAGUGAUUGGACAGCCACUGUCAGCACCCACACCCAGGCUUCCUGACCAUCAGGGGCCCUCAGACCCAAAGGUCCCAAUCCCACCCACACUGUGAGCAGUGGCAUCGAGAAGUAAUCCUUUAACCGCUGGAGGUGGGUCAAGUUGGAGUCUGGUGGGAGGUCAAGAUGAAGGCUUAGGGACUUCCCUGGUGGCGCAGUGGUUAAGAAUCCGCCUGCCAGUGCAGGGGACACAGAUUUGAGCCCUGGUCCGGGAAGAUCCCACAUGCGGAAUAACUAAGCCCGUGCGCCACAGCUACUGAGCCUGCGCACCACAAUUACUGAAGCCCAUGUGCCUAGAGCCCAUGCUCCACAACAAGAGAAGCCACCAAAAUGAGAAGCCUGCGCACCACAAUGAAGAGUAGUCCCCGCUCACCGCAGGUAGAGAAAGCCCGUGCAGCAACGAAGACCCAACACAGCCAAAAAAUUAUUUUUUUUAA